CACGUAGGGGCCAAGCGUUGUCCGGAUUUAUUGGGCGUAAAGCGCGCGUAGGCGGCUAGAUCAGUCUGCUGUAAAAGUCAAAGGCUCAACCUUUGAAAGCCGGUGGAUACUGUCUAGCUAGAGUCCGGAAGAGGCGAGUGGAAUUCCUGGUGUAGCGGUGGAAUGCGCAGAUAUCAGGAGGAACACCAACGGCGAAGGCAGCUCGCUGGGACGGUACUGACGCUAAGGCGCGAAAGCGUGGGGAGCGAACAGG
rnacentral:rRNA from 1 species